rnacentral:rRNA from 1 species
GAUGAACGCUGACAGCAUGCUUAACACAUCAGCAACUGAUUGUUGGCGGACGGGUGAGUAACGCGUACAGAACUUGCCUCCCAGCUAGGGACAACAUUUGGAAGCGAAUGCUAAUACCUAACACUGUGAGAGAGCUUUGCGUCCAAUUAGCUAGUUGGGGAGGUAACGGCUCACCAAGGCGAGGAGGGGUAGCCGGCCUGAGAGGGUGAUCGGCCACAAGGGGACUGGGACACGGCCAUUACUCUUACGGGGGGCAGCAGUGGGGAUAAUGGGACAAUGGAGCAAAGUCUUGUCCAGCAAUUCUGUGUGCAAGAUGAAGUUUUCGGAAUGUAAAGUGCUUUCAGUGGAGGAGCGGUACCAACAGAAGAAGUAACGGCUAAAUACGUGCCAGCAGCCGCGGUAAUAC